rnacentral:rRNA from 1 species
ACGGGAGGCAGCAGUGGGGAAUAUUGCACAAUGGGCGCAAGCCUGAUGCAGCGAUGCCGCGUGAGGGAAGAAGGUUUUCGGAUUUUAAACCUCUGUCAUCGGGGACGAUAAUUACUGUACCCGAGAAGGAAGCUCCGUCUAACUACGUGCCAGCAGCCGCGGUAAUACGUAGGGAGCGAGCGUUAUCCGGAAUUACUGGGUGUAAAGGGAGUGUAGGCGGGACUUUAAGUCAGAUGUGAAAUAUACCGGCUCAACGGGUAGACUGCAUUUGAAACUGCGGUUCUUGAGUGAAGUAGAGGUAAGCGGAAUUCCUAGUGUAGCGGUGAAAUGCGUAGAUAUUAGGAGGAACAUCAGUGGCGAAGGCAGCUUACUGGGCUUUAACUGACGCUGAGGCUCGAAAGCGUGGGGAGCAAACAGGAUUAGAUACCCUGGUA